rnacentral:rRNA from 1 species
GUCCUUUAGAGUAUAAUUAAAGGUUUAACCUGCCCACUGAAAAAUUAAAUGGCCGCAGUAAAUUGCCUGUGCAAAGGUAGCAUAAUCAAUAGUUUUUUAAUUAAAAGCUUGUAUGAAUGGUUGGACGAGAUAAAAUCUGUCUUUAGAUAAAAUAUAGAAUUUAAUUUUUAAGUUAAAAAGCUUAAAUUUUAUUAAAAGACGAGAAGACCCUAUAGAUCUUAAUAAUUAUUUAUUUAAUAAUAUAUAGGAAUAGGAAUUAUUUUAAUUAUUUAAUUAUUUUAUUGGGGUAAUAUAAAGAUUUAAAGAAUUCUUUUUUAAUAUAAACAUUAAUUAUUGAAUUAUUGAUCCAUUAUUAAUGAUUAAAAGAUUAAGUUACCUUAGGGAUAACAGCGUAAUUUUUUUAAAGAGUUCAUAUCGAUAAAAAAGUUUGCGACCUCGAUGUUGGAUUAAAAAUUAUUCUAGGUGUAGUAGUUUAGAAUUUUGGUCUGUUCGACCAUUGAAUUUUU